UCACUGGGCGUAAAGCGUAUGUAGGCGGAUCAAAAAGUUAGAUGUGAAAUCCCUGGGCUCAACCCAGGAACUGCAUUUAAAACUAGUGAUCUAGAAUUUGGUAGGGGCCAGUAGAAUUUCCAGUGUAGAGGUGAAAUUCGUAGAUAUUGGAAAGAAUACCAGUGGCGAAGGCGACUGGCUGGGCCAUUUUUGACGCUGAGAUACGAAAGCGUGGGUAGCAAACAGGAUUAGAUACCCUGGUAGUCCACGCAGUAAACGAUGAGUGCUAGUCGCUGGGACAAUAGUUUCAGUGUCGAAGCUAACGCAUUAAGCACUCCGCCUGGGAAGUACGGUCGCAAGAUUAAAACUCAAAUAAAUUGACGGGGGCCCGCACAAGCGGUGGAGCAUGUGGUUUAAUUCGAAGCAACGCGAAGAACCUUACCAGACCUUGACAUGGUAUGUUUGAAUUACAGAAUCGUAAUUCUUCAGUUCGGCUGGCAUACACACAGGUGCUGCAUGGCU
rnacentral:rRNA from 1 species